CCCAAUCCUUUAGUCCAAUCCCCAGAACAAUUUUUAGAAGCCCACCUGGCAUCAUGUUUCUUCUUUCUUCUUCCUCUAACGUCUGCGACCUCCCCGACGAAAAUACACCGAAACUUAAAAGCGUCGAGUGAUCUCCGUAAAGUCCCCCCCAUCCAUAAAUCCAUUCUGUACUCUGAGUUUUUCCUUGAUUAAUCAACUCCUCCCACCUGAAGCAUUCAAUCUAUCUACCUCUUUGUAUCCUACAGUAACCGGCGGAAGCAUUCAAUCUACCUCUUUAUUUAACAAUUGAUUCUUUUUCAGCUCGCUUCGUCUCUUUAAGCGAUCACUUCCUUUUCCCAAUUUCCUUUUUCAGUUACACAGAUUUCAUUUCACUUCGUCUCGCUUAAUAAUGGAGUUAGAAAGGCAGAUCAAACGAUUGUGAUGCUCUUUUUGGCUGCUGAAUCUCGUGCUCUGUCUGGAAAGUAAGGGAUCUAUUCUGCAAAAGCAUCUUUAGCCAUGCACAUCACCGACAUAAGUAAAUCUAUAUCUGAUAAACAAAGCUCAUUUUCAAUCGCUAAUUGGUAAGCAUAUAUUAUUUGUCUCAUCCCGCAACUAAGAAAGCCUUCUCUUCAAAGAAUCAGGAAAAUACCGGCUGUUGUUGAAUGUGUAUUCAGUGGAGAGACGCAGCUAAGCUAUCUAUGUAAUGAGACGCAAACUCAUGCAGAGAGAUGUCGAGAGAUUGAAGUUGAAACCGUGGAUUGAAUCGGUACGUUCUUUGAUCAAUGUGGGAGCUGAAGCAACUAUUCUUGAACAGGCAGAGAGAUAUGCUACAAACCAGAAACUGAAGAUUUGGGAGAAUUAUGUUAAAGGACAAGAACUAUCAAAUGGAAGUACAGCCUUAGAAACCUAACAAAAAAGAGACCUCUGUGAAUAUCUCUCUUCAGCACUACUCAGAUAGUUUUAAUACAUGUAUAAAAUAAGCAGCAAUCCAUUCAAGUUUCCUUACAUUGUGUAUGAUAAUAGGUUGCUGUCACAGAUGUACUUGGCGGUGGUCGAUUCUAUCUUCAGUCGGUUGGAGACCAGAAACUAGCUUCGAUUCAGAACCAUUUUGCAUCCAUGUGUGUUAAAGAUGAUCCCAUCAUCGCAUCCUUCAACUCUAAGAGAGGUGAUAUCGUUCUUGCACAGUUUCUCCUUGACUACUUUUGGAACCGUGCAAUGAUUGUGAAUGCACCACGAGGAGCUGUUGAGAUGAUAAAUUUGAAGUGUUCUAUAUCGAUUAUGGAAACCAUGAAGUAGUCCCUAUAGCGCAAUACCACCACUCCACCAGUAGACCCUUCGGUAUCAUUAGCACCAGGGCUUGCUUAGCUCUGGAGACUUGUCUACAUUAAGGUUCCAAGCUUGGAAGAAGAUUGUGGUCCUGAAGAAAAAAAUAUCUUCACUUCUGAUUUUGAGAUGAAGAACCGAGACGCCGUAACCUUUCAGAUGAUACCCGCUUCGUCUAAUGUUGCUGCAAUCAUUCACAUGUUGAUUGGAAUGUUUCACCGACUCGCUCCUCAUUGGCCAUUAGUGACUUAGAAAAAUUGUGAAAACGUUUAAAGAGUAAAUACGAGCUAAAGAGAAAGCAGAGUAAACAUAGUACUUUUUUUAGCACAUAAUAAACAUAGUAGUUUAUUCUCUU